GUGUUUAUAACUCAGUUGGAUAGAGUUUUAGAUUGCGGAUCUAACUGUCAAAAGUUCAAUUCUUUUUAAGCACA
rnacentral:tRNA from 1 species